GACAGAGGUGGCAAGCGUUGUUCGGAAUCAUUGGGCUUAAAGCGUGUGUAGGCGGCGGCGUAAGUGUCGAGUGAAAUGCCAGUGCUCAACGCUGGAACGGCUCGGCAUACUGCGUCGCUUGAGGUCGGUAGAGGCGCCUGGAACUCUAGGUGGAGCGGUGAAAUGCGUAGAUAUCUAGAGGAACGCCUGAGGCGAAAGCGGGGCGCUGGGCCGAUUCUGACGCUGAGACACGAAAGCGUGGGGAGCAAAC
rnacentral:rRNA from 1 species